rnacentral:rRNA from 1 species
AUACAGAGGUCUCAAGCGUUGUUCGGAUUCAUUGGGCGUAAAGGGUGCGUAGGUGGUGGGGUAAGUCGGAUGUGAAAUCCCGGGGCUCAACCCCGGAACUGCAUUCGAUACUGCCUUGCUCGAGUACUGGAGAGGAGACUGGAAUUUACGGUGUAGCAGUGAAAUGCGUAGAUAUCGUAAGGAAGACCAGUGGCGAAGGCGAGUCUCUGGACAGUUACUGACACUGAGGCACGAAGGCCAGGGGAGCAAACGGGA